UACGUAGGGGGCAAGCGUUGUCCGGAAUCAUUGGGCGUAAAGAGCGUGUAGGCGGUCCGGUAAGUCCGCUGUGAAAGUCGGGGGCUCAACCCUCGAAUGCCGGUGGAUACUGUCGGGCUAGAGUGCGGAAGAGGCGAGUGGAAUUCCUGGUGUAGCGGUGAAAUGCGCAGAUAUCAGGAGGAACACCGAUGGCGAAGGCAGGUCUCUGGGCCGAUACUGACGCUGAGGAGCGAAAGCGUGGGGAGCGAACAGG
rnacentral:rRNA from 1 species